UACGGGGGGGAGCAAAGCGUUGUUCGGAUUUUACUGGGCGUAAAGGGCGCGUAGGCGGCGCAACAAGUCACUUGUGAAAUCUCCGGGCUUAACCCGGAGCGGUCAAGUGAUACUGUCGUGCUAGAGUGCAGAAGGGGCAACUGGAAUUCUCGGUGUAGCGGUGAAAUGCGUAGAUAUCUGGAGGAACACCGGUGGCGAAAGGGCCGGGUAGCUGGGCCGAC
rnacentral:rRNA from 1 species